UUUGAUCCUGGGUCAGAACGAACGCUGGCGGCAUNCCUAACACAUGCAAGUCGAACGAACUNUUNGGAGUUAGUGGCGCACGGGUGNGUAACGCGUGGGAAUCUGCCCUUGGGUACGGAAUAACUCAGAGAAAUUUGUGCUAAUACCGUAUAAUGUCUUCGGACCAAAGAUUUAUCGCCCAAGGAUGAGCCCGCGUAAGAUUAGCUAGUUGGUGAGGUAAAAGCUCACCAAGGCGACGAUCUUUAGCUGGUCUGAGAGGAUGAUCAGCCACACUGGGACUGAGACACGGCCCAGACUCCUACGGGAGGCAGCAGUGGGGAAUAUUGGACAAUGGGCGAAAGCCUGAUCCAGCAAUGCCGCGUGAGUGAUGAAGGCCUUAGGGUUGUAAAGCUCUUUUACCCGGGAUGAUAAUGACAGUAACCGGGAG
rnacentral:rRNA from 1 species